rnacentral:rRNA from 1 species
UACGAAGGGGGCUAGCGUUGCUCGGAAUCACUGGGCGUAAAGGGUGCGUAGGCGGGUCUUUUAAGUCAGAGGUGAAAUCCUGGAGCUCAACUCCAGAACUGCCUUUGAUACUGAGGAUCUUGAGUUCGGGAGAGGUGAGUGGAACUGCGAGUGUAGAGGUGAAAUUCGUAGAUAUUCGCAAGAACACCAGUGGCGAAGGCGGCUCACUGGCCCGAUACUGACGCUGAGGCACGAAAGCGUGGGGAGCAAACGGGG